GACGAACGCUGGCGGCGUGCCUAAUACAUGCAAGUAGAACGCUGAAGGAGGAGCUUGCUCUUCUGGAUGAGUUGCGAACGGGUGAGUAACGCGUAGGUAACCUGCCUGGUAGCGGGGGAUAACUAUUGGAAACGAUAGCUAAUACCGCAUAACAGUAGAUGUUGCAUGACAUUUACUUAAAAGGUGCAAUUGCAUCACUACCGGAUGGACCUGCGUUGUAUUAGCUAGUUGGUGGGGUAACGGCUCACCAAGGCGACGAUACAUAGCCGACCUGAGAGGGUGAUCGGCCACACUGGGACUGAGACACGGCCCAGACUCCUACGGGAGGCAGCAGUAGGGAAUCUUCGGCAAUGGACGGAAGUCUGACCGAGCAACGCCGCGUGAGUGAAGAAGGUUUUCGGAUCGUAAAGCUCUGUUGUAAGAGAAGAACGAGUGUGAGAGUGGAAAGUUCAAACUGUGACGGUAUCUUACCAGAAAGGGACGGCUAACUACGUG
rnacentral:rRNA from 1 species